rnacentral:piRNA from 1 species
UGCCUGAAGGGAAAAGGAUUUAGGUCAA